UGUUAGAGAACGUGGAGGGGACGAAUGCAGCAAGCUCUUGUGAGAAAACAGGAACCUGUGAUGGUCAACCCUUCAUUGGAAGGGGAUCCCUCAGUGCUGGAUCUGGAAUGUUUCAUUUUCCACCAUCUCCCUCCUCCGGUAUUAUCAGCUGCAGAAGGUGAUUGCUGCCUGACUUCUGCUCUUAAUGAGUAUCAUUUUUAAACAACAACGUGCUCUGCUUGGGCUGCCCAGGUCUCAAGUUGCCUUCAGCUCCACUAGGAUCUCAGCCACCCUUUACAAACACUUGCCAAGAGGUAAACACAUCUGGCAAAACCUUCACUUGCUAAGAAGUCAUCUGACUUGGAAGGAUAUUUCCGAGAGAAUAUGAGAACGUAUCGGAUCGACUCUGCAAAGGAAUGGCCUUCUUCACUCAUGGUGUUGCCAGUUGCAUCUGAAUUGCUACAGACAGAAAGACAGCUGCUUGAAAGCAAUAACAAGGGCCUACCUGGAAUGACUUUGGAGAAGAAUCUCCAUAACUGAGAGAGGAACCCAGACCACUGAAAUGUGAAAGAAGCCCCAUCCGGUUCCCCAGGCAGAGAGCAUUCGGACUUGUCUCAAGCACAGCUUCAGCCACACACCUGCAGGAUGGAAACAGGCAGAGCAAACAAUGAAACAAGGCUGUUUAUAAAGCCUUCAACACGUCAGGCAGGGAGAAGAGCCCAAGUUUCCACGUCAAGGCCUAAACGGACCAGAAUGACGCGAAACACAUGGAAAAUACGGAAAAUGUGGAAUAAGUAAUAAAAUUAUAAAUAAAACAAAUACAAUAAAUUGGGAAUGCAGUUUUACUCAUAAUGAUUUGUGUUCCUAGUAACCCAAGACUCCCUUACCUUUGAAAACGAGCAUGUUUUUCCAGCGGGGAGCACAGUGCAGGUGAUGGGGCUGCACAGGGCACUGGACCAACCAGAGGCAGAGGUGGGCAGCAGGGAACCAGGGCUGCAGCAUGCCCAUGUGAGUCCUUUCUGUGACAAUGACUUGCAUCAGGAUCUCA